rnacentral:tRNA from 1 species
GGUGGCUCAGUGGUAGAGUGCUUGCCUCCCAUACAUGAGGUCCUGGGUUCGAUUCCUCAGCACCA